UGAUCCUACGGGAGGCAGCAGUAGGGAAUCUUCGGCAAUGGGCGAAAGCCUGACCGAGCAACGCCGCGUGAAUGAAGAAGGCCUUCGGGUUGUAAAAUUCUGUUAUAAGGGAAGAAAGGUGAUAGGAGGAAAUGACUAUCAAUUGACGGUACCUUAUGAGAAAGCCACGGCUAACUACGUGCCAGCAGCCGCGGUAAUACGUAGGUGGCAAGCGUUGUCCGGAUUUACUGGGUGUAAAGGGCGUGUAGCCGGGCUGACAAGUCAGAUGUGAAAUCCGGGGGCUCAACCCCCGAACUGCAUUUGAA
rnacentral:rRNA from 1 species